UACAGAGGUCCCAAGCGUUGUUCGGAUUCACUGGGCGUAAAGGGUGCGUAGGUGGCUUGGUAAGUUUGAUGUGAAAUCUCCGGGCUUAACCCGGAAAUGGCAUUGAAUACUAUUGAGCUGGAGGUUUGGAGGGGGACUGGAAUUCUCGGUGUAGCAGUGAAAUGCGUAGAUAUCGAGAGGAACACCAGUGGCGAAGGCGAGUCCCUGGACAACACCUGACACUGAGGCACGAAAGCUAGGGGAGCAAACAGG
rnacentral:rRNA from 1 species